UACAGAGGUCUCAAGCGUUGUUCGGAAUCACUGGGCGUAAAGGGCGCGUAGGCGGGAUGGCAAGUCGGUCGUGAAAUCCUUCGGCUCAACCGAAGAACGUCGGCCGAUACUGCCGUUCUUGAGGGAUGCAGAGGAGAUUGGAAUUCCCGGUGUAGCGGUGAAAUGUGUAGAGAUCGGGAGGAACACCGGUGGCGAAGGCGGGUCUCUGGGCAUCUCCUGACGCUGAGGCGCGAAAGCGUGGGGAGCAAACGGG
rnacentral:rRNA from 1 species